rnacentral:rRNA from 1 species
CUCAGAACGAACGCUGGCGGCGCGUUUAAGCAUGCAAGUCGAGCGGCAAGGGCCUUCGGGCCCCUAGAGCGGCGGACGGGUGAGUAACACGUGGACAAUCUGCCCCCCGGCCCGGGAUAGCCCAGGGAAGCCUGGAUUAAUACCGGAUGAGACGGGACCCGCGAUGGCGGGAUCCGGGAAAGGCGCUGCGGCGCCGCCGGGGGAUGAGUCUGCGUCCCAUUAGCUAGACGGCGGGGUAACGGCCCACCGUGGCGACGAUGGGUAGCCGGCCUGAGAGGGUGGACGGCCACAUUGGAACUGAGACACGGUCCAGACUCCUACGGGAGGCAGCAGCUAAGAAUCUUCCGCAAUGGGCGAAAGCCUGACGGAGCGACGCCGCGUGAACGAAGAAGGCCGUGAGGUUGUAAAGUUCUUUUCGGGAGGGGGAACAACCGUGGCAGGGAAUGGCCGCGGGAUGACGUGAAUCCCGGAAUAAGCCCCGGCUAACUACGUGCCAGCAGCUGC